CUUUUACUGCAGGAAAUUUCAGCACACCACAUUGCGUGAGGCGACGAAGAGCUCCAUUCUUGGCUGGGCUCAGCACCGUGCCAGGCUGCCUGGAGCUUGCCAGGGAGGAAGGGAGGUGAGGGGGAUGGGGUUGUGGUAUGGGUCCCGUGCCAACAUUACAGCUCUGCAGUUUUUUUUUUCUUCUCUGACAAUAGCAAGUGUGACCAAGCCACCAAGAAACCCAAAACGAGAGAACAGCAGGGGCGAGCAGACACUUUUCUAGGCUCUCCAGUGUAAAGUCGCUUUCAUUUGCCCUGCUGCUCUCCAGGUUUUUGAGGUUUUACAGUGUCUUCAGCUGUGUCAGUGUGAGCAAGGCAGCUUUUUUUCCUCCUUUUGCUCGUUUCCGCCCUCUUCCUUCGUCUUAUUUCUCAUAGUUUGUUUUGUCAGAUUUCCAGCACUCUAUGUGAGGCCUUUUUUUCACCCUUCACUAUCCCAUCAGCCCCCUCUCUUUUCUUUUUUCUGCUUUUUUCCCCCCAUUCCACUCCCAAAACAGUGCUGUGGUCGAGAAGCGGUUGAAUAGGAAUAAUAUUUGCUGUACUUUGCCGCCUUCCUGGUCCUAUUCUCCUCUAACAACGAGCCUUAUUUUUAGCUGCAUGCAGGGUUUGGUCAUUUCCUGCGGCUGGACUUUAAAGGAGGUGCUCGUGGUUAUGGUGCUUAUCCAAGCGGUGUGAUCUGUGACUGGUGGUUCAUUUAGGCAAAGCUAGAUCUGUGUUUAAGACUAUUGUUCGUGUCUGAAGUUCGUGCCGGCAGGCAGAUCUGGAUGUAAUAUGGAGUGAAAAGUAUUAAUCACCAUCACUACGAAAAUAUCUCAAGAAGUCUCAAGCUGAAAACAAACUUCACCCACAUAAGAGCCACAGUGCAAUAUGGUGGAGAAGCCAUUAGACCACAGCUCCAAAACUAAUGAAAUUAAUUACGGGCUAGGUCUCUCUAAACAGCUUUAUCCCCUCCGGGGGGCUGAGAUGGUGCAGUCCUGGACCCCCUUCAGCGCACUGGGAGAUUUAAGAGCGGGAUGAAAGAAACCUGGGCCAGUCAGCGGUCACCACUCUCUGAUUCAUCUUUCUGGGAAAGAGCAGAGGGGGAGAAAACCACAGAAAGCUCCCUCCUUCGUUAAAGUUACAAUCACACUGAUAGGCCAAACAAGACAGCAUAGAGAGAUGGACUGAGGUCAAAACAUGCCCAAGGCAAGCUUGUGAACAAAAAUGCUUCUAGCUAAUUUUGAUUUUGUGCAUAGUUGUGUUUAGAAAUGUGUCAGACCAUAAGUCAUAAUGCAGCACACGUGUAACUUGCAUGUUCAGCAUUGCCACAAGGGGUGCUAUAGCGGUAUAAUACUGUAGACAGAUUUCUCUUUCAGGUCAACAACUAUCAAGGCAACAGUUUGCAGUGGAUGCAUGAAUGUGUCAAGUGGCACAUUUGAGUCUUCCUGGGAAGCUGGAUUUAUGAGUGUGAAGUUGUAAUUAACACAUCAGGGGCCUAAUUUAUAAAAUACCCAUAAGAUUGGACUUCCUUGCCUGUUGAUGAUGGGUGCUUUAGUUUUUCUUAACCACGGAGAGAUAUUUGUGGGGUUCUGGAGAUGUACUUGCACACAUCGCACUUGAAUUUAAGAUGAACUGCAGUUUAUAAAGAGAAGUGUAUUUAGGAACGUUUGUGAGAAUACAGACAUUUUAUAAAUCAUUAAUAGGAACAUUUCAGAAACUGCAGCACAUUCACAUUUUAUUAUACGCAUGUUUUUAAGUUGUUUAAAGUUCUUUUUUUUUAAGUGUGUUUAAAUCACAUUAGUCAGAGCAAGUGUUUAAUGUACAACUCUUU
ensembl:lncRNA